rnacentral:rRNA from 1 species
CUACGGGGCGCAGCAGUGAGGAAUAUUGCACAAUGGGGGGAACCCUGAUGCAGCAACGCCGCGUGGAGGAUGACGCAUUUCGGUGUGUAAACUCCUUUUAUGAGUCAAGAAAAUGACGGUAGCUCAUGAAUAAGCACCGGCUAACUCCGUGCCAGCAGCCGCGGUAAUACGGAGGGUGCAAGCGUUACUCGGAAUCACUGGGCGUAAAGGACGCGUAGGCGGGCUUGUAAGUCAGGUGUGAAAUCCUACAGCUUAACUGUAGAACUGCACUUGAAACUACGAGCCUAGAGUAUGGGAGGGGCAGAUGGAAUUAGUGGUGUAGGGGUAAAAUCCGUAGAUAUCACUAGGAAUACCGAAAGCGAAGGCGAUCUGCUGGAACAUUACUGACGCUAAGGCGUGAAAGCGUGGGGAGCAAACGGGAUUAGAUACCCUGGUAGUC